rnacentral:ncRNA from 1 species
UAACUUCAACGAGAUCAGGCGAAAGGCCGGGCGCCUUUAUUGGCGCAGCAAGUCUAAAGGACUUGCGGGACUCAC